AGAAUUGGGUGAACGCCCGCUUUGCCUGAUGGCAAAGCGAGAGGAAAGUCCGGGCACCAAAGGACAGGGUGGUGGGUAACGCCCACCGCCCGUGAGGUCAGGGAAAGUGCCACAGAAAAGAUACCGCCUACGGGGAGUCGAGUUCUGCGCAGGUUCGCCUGCGUCUGUGGGACUCGGCUCCCCCGGUAAGGGUGAAAAGGUGCGGUAAGAGCGCACCGCGCCGCUGGCAACAGCGGUGGCAGGGUAAACCCCACCCGGAGCAAGACCAAAUAGGGACCCAUGGGCGUGGCCCGCGCCGGGUCCGGGUAGGUCGCUUGAGGCCCGUGGCGACGCGGGUCCCAGAUGAAUGGCUGUCCACGACAGAACCCGGCUUAUCGACCGAUCCACCUU
rnacentral:RNase_P_RNA from 1 species